rnacentral:lncRNA from 1 species
AUAGAACCUAAAUAUUUUGGCGGCUAAGUUACAAAUGAUAGACGUUAUGACCUUUUAUAACAUGGUCAAUUUGUAACUUAAUAGACCAUGCAUGUUGUAAAUUAAGGGACUAAAAUGUCUAACAAUUGUAAAUUAAGGGACAUAAAUAACAAGAAUAUUCCUCUCUCAUGUUUUCAUUCUUAUUUCUAUCUCAUUUAAUCUUACCAUAAACCCAAUUCAAUGUAACAUUCUCAUCUUCGUUGCGCUUAUUUUAUUCACGUGGUGGUUUUUUACCGCCCAACACUAGUCUCAUAUAAGGAUAUCCUAUACAGUAUACAACCAGUCUCAUCUUCCUUAUACAUAUUUCCUUUUCCCGAUAAGGAUAUCAUUUUCACGACAAGGAUAGAAAGCGCAUUAACUCUCUAAACGUUAAAAUAAGACUAGAAAUCUCCAGCCCUUUGAUCCGCGAACAUCCCCUUCAACAACUAACACAAACCGUUCAGAUCUGCAAUGGUAUCUUCCUCAAGAAGGUAAAAAUCUAUAAAAAAAUUUAUACUGAUUUUCAUUUUUUACUCUUCUCUCUCUUAACAUGCAUUAAGAACUUUACAAUUAUUCAUCUUUUUCUUAAAUUUGUUUGUCAAUAAGCUAGUUAAUACAUUUUAGAUUCGUAUUUAGUAACAAAUUAUUCAAUGAUUUUGUUUUUGUUUUGAAUCUACGGUUUUUAUCUGUUUCUAUAUUAUAUUCAUGAUAUAUCUGUACAAAAAAGUGCAUCAGAUUCAUCAUCAACUUUACAAUUAUCACAUUAGGAAUUGCACUUUUUUGUACAUAUAUAUCAUGAAUAUAAUAUAGAAACAGAUAAAAACUGUAAAUUCAAAACAGAAAUCAAAUCAUUGAAUAAUUUGUUACUAAAUACAAAUCUAAAUGUAUUAAUUAGCUUAUUGGCAAACAAAUUUAAGAAAAAGAGGAAUAAUUGUAAAGUUGUUGAAGCAUGCAUGUUAAGAGAGAAGAGUAAAAAACGAAAAUCAGUUGAAAAAGUAUAGAUUUUUACCUUCUUGAGGAAGAUGCCAUUGCAGAUCUGAACGGUUUGUGUUAGUGGUUGAAAGCGAUGAUCGCGGAUCAAAGGGCUGGAGAUUUCUAGUCCUAUUUUAACGUUUAGAGAGUUAAUGCGCUUUUUAUCCUUGUCGUGAAAAGGAUAUCCUUAUCGUGAAAAGGAAAUAUGUAUAGGAAGAUGAGACUAGUCUCAU